rnacentral:rRNA from 1 species
CCGCCGUCACAUCAUGAAAGCCGCUUGUACCGAAGUCGCUGUGCGAACCGCAAGGACGCAGGUGCCGAAGGUAUGGGUGGUGAUUGGGAUG